CUGCCACCUCGCAGUUCAAUCUCAGACUGCUGUGCUAGCAGUGGGGAAGGCUCCGUGGGCAUGGAAACUGCCGAGCCAGGCACAGUAGAGAAUCACCUUGUCUGCCGGUUGCUAAGACCUUUGGAAAAGUGCAGUAUUUGGGUGAGAGUGUCCUAUUUUUCCAGGUACAGUCUGUCACGUCUUCCCUUGGCUAGGAAAGGGAAAUCCCCCGACCCCUUACACUUUCCGGGUGAGGCAACGCCCCACUCUGCUUCAGCUCACCCUCCAUGGGCUGCACUCACCUUCCAACCAGUCUCAAUGAGAUGAACCAGGUACCUCAGUUGGAAAUGCAGAAAUCACCCGUCUUCUGCGUCAAUCACGCUGAGAACUGCAGACCAGAGCUGUUCCUAUUUGGCCAUCUUGGAACCGGUCUGAGUCUGUUUUAGCCAGAUCAAGUACUUGGUUAGACUUCUCCUAUGGAGAAUGCAGCAAGAAAAUACCAUCUUGAAGCAGAGAGCAGCG
rnacentral:lncRNA from 1 species